CCGGCGACCGGCGGACGGGUGCGUAACGCGUAUGUAACCUACCUUUGACAGGGGGAUAACAUCGAGAAAUUGGUACUAAUACCCCAUAACAUCACCAGAGGCAUCUUCGGUGGUUGAAAACUCAGGUGGUCAGAGAUGGACAUGCGUUGUAUUAGCUAGUUGGUGAGGUAACGGCUCACCAAGGCGACGAUACAUAGGGGGACUGAGAGGUCAACCCCCCACAUUGGUACUGAGACACGGACCAAACUCCUACGGAAGGCAGCAG
rnacentral:rRNA from 1 species